GCCGAACUGAGGUGAUCGAAAACACCCUGAACCCGGACUUUGUGAGGAAGUUUGUUCUUGAUUACUUCUUUGAAGAGAAACAAAACCUUCGCUUUGAUGUGUACAAUGUGGACAUGAGGAGCUGCAAUCUGUCCAAACAUAAGGACUUUCUAGGUCAGAUAUUCUGCACUUUGGGAGAGAUCAUUGGCUCCCCCGGUGGCAGAUUGGAAAGGACGCUGUCGUAAGUACGGCCUACACAACCACCAUCUUAUUUUUAACUGGAGACAGUAAAAAAAUUCACUCACAUUUUAUUGUUCCUGUAUUUUUUCCAUUUGUUCAGGCUUUAAUUUAUGAAAUGACCAUUCUUGACAAAUGGAGGAAAUGUCAGACAUACAGUACGGUAGUUGAGAGACAGACUGGUCAGUAACACUUUAUCUGAAGGUGUGUGCAUAAGACUGACAUGACACUGUAAUGAACAUUUAUGAGUCUUCAUAAAUGUUGUCUUUGAGUGUCAGCCAGUAAAUAAUGACAUUUUAAUGCAAAGUUGCACU